rnacentral:rRNA from 1 species
UACGUAGGGGGCAAGCGUUAUCCGGAUUUACUGGGUGUAAAGGGAGCGUAGACGGCCAGGCAAGUCUGGAGUGAAAGCCCGGGGCUCAACCCCGGGACUGCUUUGGAAACUGUAGGGCUGGAGUGCAGGAGGGGUAAGCGGAAUUCCUAGUGUAGCGGUGAAAUGCGUAGAUAUUAGGAGGAACACCGGUGGCGAAGGCGGCUUACUGGACUGCAACUGACGUUGAGGCUCGAAGGCGUGGGGAGCAAACAGG